rnacentral:lncRNA from 1 species
UCGAGCAAAUAUCCUUGUUAGUGGUUUCUCUAUAGAGAAUAUCUUUUAGAGAUUAUUUUAGGAAUUAGUUUUUUGCAAGGGGAGUUGGAAAAAUAGUAAAAAAACUAUUGUGGGUAUUUUAAAAAAUAUUUUGAGUGUUAUUAAUUUUAUGUAGAUUUCACGGUAAGUUCUUUCUUUAUAUAUAUUUAUUUGUAAUAGUUAAAGAAUUAUUUGAAAUUCAACAUAGUCUAAAAUUAAAGUAAAUUACAUUAAAAUUAUUUUUUUUUAUUUCAUUUUUUUAUUUUUCUGUAGUAAUUACUUUUACUACUUUAAAGGGGUAUUUCUCCAACAUGAUAGACUCAGUGAUAGGCUAUGUAUCGAGUCUUCUCUUCACCUUAGCCUUUGUUGCAUCUCUUAUUUUUGUUUGUAAAGGAAGCAAGAAGGGAAGUCCAAGUAAGCUUCCACCAGGCCCAGCUGCUUUACCAAUUUUAGGAAACCUUCUUCAUCUUGGUGACCAACCCCACAAGUCUUUGGCGAAGCUUGCCAAGCUUCAUGGCCCGUUGAUUAGNNN